GAGCGGAACUAACAGAUUACUUCGGUAAUGACGUUAGGAAAGCGAGCGGCGGAUGGGUGAGUAACACGUGGGGAACCUGCCCCAUAGUCUGGGAUACCACUUGGAAACAGGUGCUAAUACCGGAUAAGAAAGCAGAUCGCAUGAUCAGCUUUUAAAAGGCGGCGUAAGCUGUCGCUAUGGGAUGGCCCCGCGGUGCAUUAGCUAGUUGGUAAGGUAAAGGCUUACCAAGGCGAUGAUGCAUAGCCGAGUUGAGAGACUGAUCGGCCACAUUGGGACUGAGACACGACCCAAACUCCUACGGGAGGCAGCAGUAGGGAAUCUUCCACAAUGGACGCAAGUCUGAUGGAGCAACGCCGCGUGAGUGAAGAAGGUUUUCGGAUCGUAAAGCUCUGUUGUUGGUGAAGAAGGAUAGAGGUAGUAACUGGCCUUUAUUUGACGGUAAUCAACCAGAAAGUCACGGCUAACUACGUGCCAGCAGCCGCGGUAAUACGUAGGUGGCAAGCGUUGUCCGGAUUUAUUGGGCGUAAAGCGAGCGCAGGCGGAAGAAUAAGUCUGAUGUGAAAGCCCUCGGCUUAACCGAGGAACUGCAUCGGAAACUGUUUUUCUUGAGUGCAGAAGAGGAGAGUGGAACUCCAUGUGUAGCGGUGGAAUGCGUAGAUAUAUGGAAGAACACCAGUGGCGAAGGCGGCUCU
rnacentral:rRNA from 1 species